rnacentral:tRNA from 1 species
GGAUAUAGCUCAGUGGUAGAGCCUACGCUUAGCACGCACAAAGUCCUGGGUUCAAUCCCCGGUACUUCCA